CCUACGGGAGGCAGCAGUGAGGAAUAUUGGUCAAUGGCCGUAAGGCUGAACCAGCCAAGUCGCGUGAAGGAAGAAGGAUCUAUGGUUUGUAAACUUCUUUUAUAGGGGAAUAAAGGUAUCCACGUGUGGAUAUUUGCAUGUACUCUAUGAAUAAGCAUCGGCUAACUCCGUGCCAGCAGCCGCGGUAAUACGGAGGAUGCGAGCGUUAUCCGGAUUUAUUGGGUUUAAAGGGUGCGUAGGUGGUUUUAUAAGUUAGCGGUGAAAUGUUGUGGCUUAACCAUAGAAUUGCCUUUAAUACUGGAGGACUAGAGAGUGUUUGAGGUAGGCGGAAUGCGUGGUGUAGCGGUGAAAUGCAUAGAGAUCACGCAGAACUCCGAUUGCGAAGGCAGCUUACUAAGCCAUAUCUGACACUGAGGCACGAAAGCGUGGGGAUCAAACAGGAUUAGAUACCCGGGUAGUC
rnacentral:rRNA from 1 species